rnacentral:rRNA from 1 species
UACGUAGGGGGCGAGCGUUGUUCGGAAUUACUGGGCGUAAAGGGCUCGUAGGCGGCCAACUAAGUCAUACGUGAAAUCCCUCGGCUUAACCGGGGAACUGCGUCUGAUACUGGAUGGCUUGAGAUUGGGAGAGGGAUGCGGAAUUCCAGGUGUAGCGGUGAAAUGCGUAGAUAUCUGGAGGAACACCGGUGGCGAAGGCGGCAUCCUGGACCAACACUGACGCUGAGGAGCGAAAGCCAGGGGAGCAAACGGG